rnacentral:lncRNA from 1 species
GUAGAAUUAUGUAAUAAAUGGCUGUCAUUUAUGAAGGGUUUACUAUGGGCUUAGCAUGUUACCUGAUUUAAUUCAACCUUCACAAUAACCCUACAAGAUGGAACUAUCAUAAAAGUUUAAUAAAUUCAUCCAAGGUCCCAAAAGGAAUCAUGAUACAAAGGCAGAUUCCACUUCAGGGUUCCCGUUCUUCCUACUAUGAAGUAGGAUAAUUAUACAUGAAUGCUGGAUGGAACUGAAUUCCAUCUGAAAGUAAACUCACUGUGAAUUAUUAUCCUACAUGGCUCUAUACUCCUCAAGCAGGAAUGCUUCUUUGUCUUUGGGGGUGGCGGAAGAGGGCCAAUGCUUGUUAUGGCGAGAGAAGUGAUGGGCUCUUUCUUUACAGAGGUGGGGACCUCAGGCGACGGCAGCUGGGUGAGAUUCAGCUCACAGUGCGCUAUGUGUGUCUGCGGCGCUGCCUCAGCGUGCUAAUCAAUGGCUGCAGAAAGGAAGUGGGCAUGUCGUAAGAAGACUUCAGUGAAGCGGAAGACCUUGGAACCCCUGUUUGAUGAGACAUUUGAAUUUUUUGUUCCCAUGGAAGAAGUAAAGAAGAGGUCACUAGAUGUUGCAGUGAAAAAUAGUAGGCCACUUGGCUCACACAGAAGAAAGGAGUUAGGAAAAGUACUGAUUGACUUAUCAAAAGAAGAUCUGAUUAAGGGCUUUUCACAAUGACUUUACAAGACCAAAUAUACUUCUCAUCCCCUCCAACAUUCCUGGACCUCCUCUUCUCUCUUACCAACACCAACACUACCUGCCGUCAGUUUUCUGUCUCUGCCUCUGCCUUCACUGCCACUUUUCUGAAGCAGGGCAACAUUCGAGAACAAAGUUUUGUCAUGUUACUCUUAUUCCAGUUUCCUGCCAUCUGAUUCACAUGCAGAUGUUCUAUUCCAGAGUAGUCCAAAUACUAUGCUCUGCUGACUCAAGUCAUGUCUCAAACCUAUUUCCUCUAUUAAGUAAGUCAGUCAAUCCAUAGUGAAAUGGACUCUUCCUACCGCCUGUAGCAUUUACUGUUGAUACUGAGUAUUUUCCAUUUUAAUAGUUCCCAGCCUUUAUAACACUAAGUUUUAAGAAAUGUUGAUUAGGCAUCUGCUAAGGUUACAUGCUAAGCAGCUACUUAUAUUGUAUUUGGUAUUUAAUUUUGUUUAUUCUCCAGUUGAACAGUAGGGAACAAUUCAAGCUACUUGAAUUGUUUUUCACCCUCACCAUCCAAGACCGUGUUAAGUACAUAGAAGAUGCAUGGUGAAAUUCGUUUCUGCUGAGGUUUCUAUUUUAAAUGGCAAAUUCUCAUAAUAAAAUGGAGCAUUGAUGCCUACCCUGUCUACCUUAUGAUGGCAUUCUAAUUGCCCCCUAAAUAGACAAGUGCCUUGAAAAUGGAGAAGCACCAGAGAAAUAAGGGAAUGUAUCAUAUGUACAUCGAAACAUUAGCAACCCUAAAACAGCUAAUCAAAAUGGCAGAUAAGUGAAAACCUACCCCUCUUCUUCCAAACUUAAACCACAAACAUUUAUUUUAAACGUGGUCAAUUGAACCGUUUUUACCUGUGUCAGGCAACACAGGUAAAUACCUGGUGAUGGUCUGAAGAGGAGUUAAAAUGUUGAAGGGAACCAGAAUUUUAGUACACAGCAGACAGGAGGCAAGGUUAUAUAGGCGCUGUGUGAGGGGCAGGGAGCCUGAAAAGUUGUUAAUACCUUGGCUGCCACUGAGGACAAGAAUUGGUUUUCAGCAGUGGGUGGAAACAAUCAGCUAAUAUGCAGGAGCAUAGGGUCUGAAGUUAACAUCAUCUUGGUACAGAAACCCCCAAACCUAAGACGGAAUGUGAAUAUUGGUUUAGAACCUGGAAGCCUGUGAAGCCUUGAUGGAGGCAACCAUAAAAUUGGCCCCACAGGGUUGCCACUCCCAUCCAGGGCACAUAUGCGACAACUGCAGCAGAUGGCUGUCACUAAAGGGAAACUCACGGGCAAAAAUAAAUUAUGAAACAAAACAAAAACAGACUUUAAAAAAAAUACAAAGUACACAGGAAUAUCAAACUGAAAAAUAGCCAUAGAUAAUAUUUCAGCCAGAAGGAAAAUGUACCAGUAAGGCAGAAAUAGCAUGUGAGAAGCAGUGGAAAGCAAAGAAAUCCAUAAAAUACAUUGGCAAACCUAAGCAAGUUUUGAUGAUGAUUGUUCACAAGAUAUAAACAAAUAACCAAAGAUUUUUGCAAGGGUUCAGAAACAUAGUAGAACUAAAAUGUUAGUACUAACAACUAAGAAGGGGCAGCUAGGCUGAUUAAGAAAGUAAGUAUUCAAGACCAUAUCUUAUUUAGGAAGCUAAAGAUACUCAUCUUAAAAAUAUAACUGUGUCAGUCACUAAUUCAUUACCUCUCAGCUUCAAAUUGACGUCUGUCUCCUUUGCUGCUUUCCCGGCAGGCUGAUGUUUGGCUUUGCCAAUAGGGGGCGAUGGAAGGACACUCUAUAGCAGGAAGAAGGGGCUUUUCUUCUGAUGUUUUCCAUGGCUGCUAGCUAAUUGGCAUACAGAGCUGUUCUCAAUCAAUCACCUAAGUACCCCCACAGUUUACCCUUGGCUCAUGGCCUUCAUGUUUUAUCAGCAGGCAACACCUUUUGGCAAGUUUCUUAGCCACAAGUGGGUUGCAUGGUCCUAUGGCUGCCAGCGGAAAUCUAAAUCUCAGCCUGGUAGGGAGGCACUUAGUUUCUAACUUCCUUUCUUGUUCACUCUCCCUUACCCCUGGGGGUAAGGAUCUGCAUCCUGAAGUUGAUAUUCUGUAUCCCCUAGAGUCCACUUCUACCCCGUUUAGUAGUAAAUACAAGAAUUGCUAACUAGUAAAAGGUGGUUAAGUUUUUCAUGUUUGGUUACCUGUGCAAUGUGGUUUCUGUCUCCUAAGUAUGUAUUCAAAAUUGCAAGAUAACUAUGAAAAUAGAGUAAUAGCAGAAAGCCAAUAAAGUUGAUAUAUACAACUUCCAAAUUAGCAGUGAAGAAGAAAAGGUUAUAAAGAAAAAUCAACCCUGCAAAACGUAGGAGGGGAAAGCAAAGACAUAGUAGACAAUACAAAAGAUGGUCAAGAUACGUCUAAAUAUAUUUGUAAUUACAAUAAACAACACUAUUAAAAUCUAGAAUGUCAAAAGUAAAAAGCAGUUAUAUGCUGUUUAUAAGAGGUUCACAUGAAACAGAAAUGUUGAAAGUAAAAAGAUUAAAAGAUCCAUCCAAGAAUCAUUUAGAUUUCUGUUUAUAUUAAUGGCAGCAAACAAUAUAUUAAGAAACAGAUGCUCCCUAUUGCCACUUCUGUUCAACAAUGUAUUGCAGCCUGAGUAAUAAUAGGGCAAAAAUAGGUACAUCUAACCAAAACUUCUAUGUGCAGAUGAUAUGAUCAUGAGCAUGAAAUCCAAGAUAAUCUAAAUUGCUAGAAUUAACCAGAAAGUCUUCAGCAAGCUUGCUUGAUACAAUGUUAAAAAAACUGUAGUUCUGUUCCCUAAGAGAAAAUAAGUGCAUAAAAAUAUCAAUCUAUAUGAAUACAUUCAACAACCCCUAUAAGAAAACUAAAACUUUUUAAAUAAAUGUUAAACCUAAAAUGGAGAGCUAUGCCACGUUUGAGGUUGGAAAACCCAACAAAUGCCAUUUCUCUCCAAAUUAAUUAUAUGUUUAAUGAAAGCCCAAUAAAUCAACAGGUUGUGUGUGUAACUUGAUAAGCAGAUUCAAUGUACAUGGAACUACAAAAGGUAGAAAGCCGCCUACUCAACGCCAAAGUUCAUUUUCAAGCUGUAAUAACUAAGACAGAAUGGUACUAGUGCAGGGAGCCAACUGGGCCAAAAGAACAGAAAAGAGCCCAGAAACAGACCCAUUCACAUAUACUCAAUUUAUGACAGAGGUAGCACUGUGAACAAAGGGAAAAGAUAGACUUUUCAAUAAAAGGUGCUGGGACAAUUGGAUAUUCAUGUGAGAAAAUACGAAAUGGUCCUUUACUCAUAUCACAUUAAAAAAUCAAUCAACUCCAGGUAUAUUAGACUGUGUAAAGCAAAACUAUACAGCUGUAAGAUAAUAUAGGAGAAUAAUUUCACAACUUGUGACUAAGGCAAGAUUUCAUAACACGCAAAGAGCACUAACUAAAAGACCACACAUCUCUCCGUGAAAAUUAGGUACUUCUGUUCAUAAAAAUAAACUAUAGGCUGGUGCGGUGGCACACACUUUUAGUCCCAACUACUUGGAAGGCCGAGGUGGGAGGGACCACUUGAGCCCAGGUGUUCAAAGGCCAGCCUGGGCAACACAGUGAGAUCCCAUCUUUUUUUUUUUGAGAUGGAGUCUCGCUCUGUCACCCAGGCUGGAGUGCAGUGGCAUGAUCUCAGCUCACUGCAACCUCUGCUUCCUGGGUUCAAGUGAUUCUCCUGCCUCAGCCUCCUCAGUAGCUGGGACUACAGGCACAUGCCACCAUGCCAGGCUAAUUUUUUGUAUUUUUAGCAGAGACAGGGUUUCACUGUGUUAGCCAAGAUGGUCUCGAUCUCCUGACCUCGUGAUCUGCCCGCCUCGGCCUCGCAAAGUGCUGGGAUUACAGGCAUGAGCCACCACGCCCGGCCGAGAUCCCAUCUCUUUAAAAA